AAAAAUUAUUAAUAAAACAUUGCAACUUUUUUCCCCAAAUUCAAUAAUACACUCUCCAGCUUUUCUCUCCAACUAUGAAACACCAUUUCCAUGUGACGAACAAUAGUUCCAAAUCUGAUUUCUUGUUGAAGAGCUGAAGAGGUUGUUCGUUCAUAUUCUCGCUAAAAAGUUGUUCUCGCUUAAGUUACGCCGCGCUGAAGAGUUGUUCUCGCUUAAGAGGUUAUUCCGUCACAUUCUCGUUAAAUCAUUCCCAGAUUAAGUUGUUCCUUCAUAUUCUCACAAAAUCUUCAUCACAUUGAAAUGAUUUUGUUUACAUAGGGUUUAUUAGGGUGAACUAGUUGUCUUUUUCAUUGCAGAUGUUGGUCAAGGAUUAAGGAAUUGGAUUGCUUGGAGGCAAAGGCCAAGGCUAGUGUAGCUUUUCAAUUAGUGGUAAAGGAUUUGCAAGAAGAAUUUAUGAAAGAUUACAUAUUUCCUUAUCUACGAGCUGGUGUUAUCUAUGAAAGGAAAUAAUUGCUUGGGAUAUCAAUAAUCCAUCCAGUUAUUGCUAAGGUAGUGAAGGAUGUGUCUUUACUGCUGUGUCUAUCAAGUUCACUUGAUCAAGUAAAAGCGCAGAAAGAGAACUUUAUUCAUGCCUUCGAGAUCACAGCUUGAGAAAGGUUGCUGUAUUCCACUGACUCUUGCUUAUUAUUUCGAUGAAGUCGUGAUAUUUGGGAUGCUUGAGUUUAUCAAGGUCAAUGUCAACUUGGCUGGUCUUCAAACAUUAGUUCUCCGGUGUGGAUUUGUUGAUAGUAGUUCUGUGGCCCUUCCCGUCUGUGUUGAGAUGAUUAGUGCGGCAGUUUAAGAGGUGCUCUAAUGGCUUUCCAAACAUCAUACAUGGUGAUGCUAAUAGGACAUGACAAAAACUGGAAGGCUCUAGGAAAAUGCUGGUAAUUUUAUUCGAAUUGUGGUCAGAAUUAAACUCGAUCUAUUGUGGUGAAUGAUGAAGAGUUUUUGUACUAUUGAUAUAUACAUUUUAAUGCAUUUGAUUUUUUUGGAAUUUAUUAAUAUUAGAGUUCUUUCAGCAAUAACUUUCUAAGUAUUGAUUGUAUAAGACAUGUUUCUUGAAGUGUAUUUGAAAUAUAUAGCUUUAAUUUAA